rnacentral:rRNA from 1 species
AUUGAACGCUGGCGGCAGGCCUAACACAUGCAAGUCGAACGAGUGGCGGACGGGUGAGUAAUGUCUGGGAAACUGCCUGAUGGAGGGGGAUAACUACUGGAAACGGUAGCUAAUACCGCAUACCAUCAGAUGUGCCCAGAUGGGAUUAGCUAGUGGGUGGGGUAACGGCGCACCAAGGCGACGACCCCUAGCUGGUCUGAGAGGAUGACAGGCCAAAGUGGAACGGAGACCGGGACCAGACUCCUACGGGAGGAAGCAGUGGGGAAUAUUGCACAAUGGGCGAAAGCCGGAUGAAGCAAGGCAGCGUGUAUGAAGAAGGCCUUCGGGUUGUAAAGUACUUUCAGCGGGGAGGCGUUACCCGCAGAAGAAGCACCGGCUAACUCCGUGCCAGCAGCCGCGGUAAUUC